CAAAAACUCAUCCUGAAGCCAUUCCCAGACCUUCCCACAGAGACAUUUAUCCACCCCAUGGAGGCACUCACCGGAUCCAUGGCUCCUUCCCCACAUCCUCUGGAGCAUCUGAGAUGGGAAGAGGGAACAUCCAGAGCUGGAAACAGGGAAUCACCAAUGCAGGAAGCAGCACUGGGAAUGAUGGAAGCAGGAGAAGAGCAGGAUUUCUGCCCCUUUGCUCCCAGGUUUAUGCUGGACCUGCUGGCGGCUUUAACCCUUCCAGCACCAUCACUGCAGCUCAAGGAGAAACCCAGCAGUGCCUGAGGGAGCUGACAUGGGAUGAGCAAUGGCCUGGCUCAGCUGAAGAAGGAAAACCACCCCAAAACCAUCCCUUUGUUGUCCUUAUCUGUGGCUUUCACCCAUUUUCCCUCCAGCUUCCUUGGCUGAGACUCCAGGGAUUACAAACCUCCAAGUGAACCCAGGAACUGUGGAAUUUUGGAGGCGUCAGAGCACCACACUGGCUACAGUGGCACCAAAAGCUUGGCUAAUCCCCCCAAAAAACUGGGAGAUGGAUGCUCCUCUUUCUCCAGUGCUUCCCACCAACAUCCCUGGAGCUCCUCCCAGCACAGCACAAGCUGGUGGGAAAUGCCAUUCCUGGAAGGAAUCACACCACGAGCAUCCUAUGGGAAGGAGGAACAUGAGGAUUGGGAGUAUUUUCCGCUGUGGUGGGAAAGCACUCAGCCUGCUCCUUUUCCACCUUUUUCCCCCCAGUAUUGCAACAAAACAGGACAAUGUGCUGGCAGUCAUUAGCAUCUCCCUGGAAAAUGCCAGCCCAGCUUCCAGAUCCAACUCUCCAGAACCCCCCGGAGUGGCUGCGAGCUUCAGGCAGCGCCAGAAUCAUCAUCAAAAAUCUCACUUUCCUUCCAAAAAGAAAGGGGUGGAAACUGCUCCUGCUGGAUAUUCCCAGUGGGAUGGAAUAUCUGCUGCAGCAUGCAGAUCCCGAAAGAAUCAUGUCACACCACUGCCUGCAUCACCUGUGGGGUUCAGCCACACCCACCUGGGCAAUGCAACUCCCCAAGGGAUCCCUGGGGAUAGCUGGGAUCUCACGGGAUCCGGCUGCUUUGCCGGGCAUGCCGGCACCUGCCCUCCCGCAGAGCGAACAAACAAGUUGCUAAGUCACAGCAAAACCAUGAAAGCAAAACCACAGAGCCCCAAAGUGCCUCUGAGUCACUCCCCGGCCGCCGCCACGGCCCCACAGUCCUCCCAAAAUUCGCCGCCACCUGCAGCUGCUGAUCCGUGCUCCAAAGGGCCGCUCCAGAGGCGCUGGGAAGCGUUUCCCAGCAGGGAAAGCCUCCCUGAGCGCGGGCAGGAUGGAUGGAGGAGCUGAGGUGACGCCCAAACCAACCUGGCAGCCCCCACUCAUCCCUUCUCUCCCGCAACCUCACCUGGAUUUUUUAUUGUUAUCGAACGGUGCCAAGCACUCGUGAGGACGGGGAUGGAGCCGAGCCCCGGGCACAGAGCGCUCCCGGGAUUAGUCACCGGUGGCAGCAGCACGGCUGACAUGAGUCACGGAGGUUUGGCCGCCCAGUAAACCCGGGAUUUUCGGGUUCCCGGCUCUGGGGUUGUCCCGGGGACACCUUUCGGUAACCGGUGCCCGGUUCUCGCAGCCGCCUCCCGGCACCGCUGCUUUGCCGUGGGAUUCCGCAGCAGCUGGAAUGGCGGGAUCGGUCCCAAAUAACCGCGUCCCGUUCGUGCCUGAGGUGGGAAUUGCGAUGGAGGCGUGGGAUGGAGCCGGGUGACAGAGGGGCCACGCCGGUGGCCUCGGUGGCGAUGCCGACAGAGGUCACUGUUGCGAAAAGUUGUGAGCCCAGGCCAAAAAAACCAAAGGGAACUCGGUGGGGAAGGCGGCGAUGGGGCCGGGCUGGAACCCGGCUGCGGGACCUUCCCGGGAAUGAUGCACCGGGAAGCGCGGCCGGCACCGCGAUCCAUGGGAUGGGACGAGCUGGAGAAACCGCGCUCUGCCCGCAGCCACCGCGGGACACCCCAGGGGCCGCCCAGCCGGGACUAAAGAAGGAUCAUGAGGAUAAUUCCCCUCUGGAGAGGGAAUGUGCUGCCGCCGGAUGAUCCCGAGGGCGAAAGCCGAGGCAGAGCAGGAAAAGGAGGGAGCCCGGGGCUGCUGAGCCCCUGGCAGAGCCCCUCAGCUCCGGGACAGCCCACGGGACGCACAGGGAAGCGCAGUUUGGGAUGUAUUGGGUGGCAGGUGGCGGGAGAGAGAGGAAGAGGCAGGAGGGGAACUCGCUGCUACCUUUCCCAGCCCAAAUCCCAAAGGAGGGCACAGAACGAGCGGGAGAGGGCGGCACAAAAUGCCCCAAAAAGGUGACUAAGCACUGUGGGGGUAGGCAUGACGCCAGCGGAGCCCAGCCUACGCUCCCAGCUGUGCCAUUAUCACAAUAACAGGGAAUGACUGGGGUGGGAAUGUUCCGUAAAGCCCAUCCCGUUCCACCCCUUGCCGUGGGCUGGGCCACCUUCCCCUCGCCGAGGUUGCUCCAAGCCCCGUCCAACCUUGCCUGGGACACUUCCAGGGAUGGGGAAUGGAGUUACCCGGGUGCAGGACCAGGGAGAGCCUCCACAUCCCACCUCCCCCUUCUCCGUGCCUGAGCAACUCUGUUUCCCUCCCUGCUGCUGCCGGAGCAUCCCGAAAUUCCUCCCAGCUCCACACCGUCUCCAGGGCUCCUCCAGCAGAUCCCUCCGGGGCGAGGCAAAGCGCACACCCCGAGCAGCAGCCCGCGCCAAAUCCCAAACGUUCCCGCUGCUUCCAUGGGGUUUUUUUCCCCCGCAAAUCCUGGCAGCAGCCGAAGGGAGCAGCGUCUUACCGUGGGUGGUGGGUCCGGGCCGCCCCCGGGCCGGGGGUUCCCGGUGUUCCCAGGGGGAGCCGGGAAGCGCAGCCCCGGGGCCGUAACGGGCGCGGGCGGCCCGGGCGCGCUGUGCCCCGAUCAUUGGUCCAGCUCACGGCAGCCGCUGCUUUCAAAUUCUGCUCGAGCUGCGGAAGGAAACAGGAAGCCCCAGAGCUCCUCGCCAGAGCCUCCCGCGCCCACCCCCGCCCACGAGCUCGCCUCCCUCGCCAAACGCUGGGAAUGGUGCUUUUCCCGCAUCCGGCGGAAACAGGGAGCAUCCCGACGCCGACGUCCCGGCGGGGAGUUGAUAGAGAUGCUCGGUUUCGUGUUACUCGUCAUUUUUUCAUCUUAUUCGUGGUGAAAUGAAUCGUCACCUUCCAGCUUGCCCGGCCACAAGGCAGCAUCACCCUCGGAAUGCGGGAUAAACCCCAUGGAUCCAUCGGGACAGCAAGAGGAUUUAGGACACCUCCAGGUUUCUCAGCUUUCCACCCCAAAUCCAGCAUUUGGAUUUUCGGCUCUUUGUUCAGCCGAGAUAAAGCUGGAGGCUCAUUCUGGGGCUGGGGGAGAGGCUUGAGGAGGCAAAAAAGGUUUGUCCUUGGAAAAGUUGUGGGGAAUUUAAUUCCCCAUCCCCGGAAGUAUUUGAUGCCAGCUUUGGAUGGGCCUUUAAAGAUGUCCCUGCCCCUGGUCUUCAAGGUCCUUUCCAACCAAAACCAUUCCAGGAUGCCAUGAAAACCCAGUGUCAUUCCCUCUGCAAAAUUAGCACUUCAUGCUUCUCACUUCCUCAGUUUAGAAGGAAGUUCCCUGAGCUGCACCAGCCUCCCCGGGGAAGGAACAUCCAGGAUUGCUCCAUGAGACCUCCUGGCUCCGCUGAUUUCCCAUCUGUUCAUGGGUUCAUUGAAUUCACAUAAGGAAGGUGCUUGUGGAGGAGGUGUGAUAAAUUAAAUUAAUUAAAUUGUUUUUAUUAAAUUAGAGAAGUUUCUGAACAGCUUAAAAAAAAAAAAGGGAUGAGGGUUGGAAUUUGGCACAGGCUCUGCCUCCUUCAGGACACCUCAAGUAAUUGGAAAACCUCAGUUAAUACACAAUAAAUUUGUUUUUUAUAAGAA